AUUGAACGCUGGCGGCAUGCCUUACACAUGCAAGUCGAACGGCAGCACGGGUGCUUGCACCUGGUGGCGAGUGGCGAACGGGUGAGUAAUACAUCGGAACGUACCUUAUCGUGGGGGAUAACGCAGCGAAAGCUGUGCCAAUACCGCAUACGCCCUGAGGGGGAAAGCGGGGGAUCGCAAGACCUCGCGCGAUUAGAGCGGCCGAUGCCUGAUGAGCUUGUUGGUGGGGUAAAAGCCCACCAAGGCGACGAUCGGUAGCUGGUCUGAGAGGACGAGCAGCAGCAGUGGGACUGGGACGCGGACCAGACUCCUACGGGAGGCAGCAGUGGGGAAGUUAGGAAAAUGGGGGCAACCCUGAGCCAGCAAUGCCGCGUGAGUGAAGAAGGCCUUCGGGUUGUAAAGCUCUUUUGUCAGGGAAGAAACACCGGCUCUAACACAGUCCGGGAAUGACGGUACCUGAAGAAUAAGCACCGGCUAACUACGUGCCAGCAGCCGCCGUAA
rnacentral:rRNA from 1 species